rnacentral:rRNA from 1 species
GACGAACGCUGGCGGCGUGCCUAAUACAUGCAAGUCGAGCGGAUGAGAAAGGAGCUUGCUCCUUUCGAUUCAGCGGCGGACGGGUGAGUAACACGUGGGCAACCUGCCUGUAAGACUGGGAUAACUCCGGGAAACCGGGGCUAAUACCGGAUAAUUCAUGAGACUGCCUAGUCUGAUGAUAAAAGAUGGUUCUGCUAUCACUUACAGAUGGGCCCGCGGCGCAUUAGCUAGUUGGUGAGGUAACGGCUCACCAAGGCGACGAUGCGUAGCCGACCUGAGAGGGUGAUCGGCCACACUGGGACUGAGACACGGCCCAGACUCCUACGGGAGGCAGCAGUAGGGAAUCUUCCGCAAUGGACGAAAGUCUGACGGAGCAACGCCGCGUGAGCGAUGAAGGCCUUCGGGUCGUAAAGCUCUGUUGUUAGGGAAGAACAAGUAUGAGUUAACUGCUCAUACCGUGACGGUACCUAACGAGAAAGCCACGGCUAACUACGUGCCAGCAGCCGCGGUAAUACGUAGGUGGCAAGCGUUGUCCGGAUUUAUGGGCGUAAAGCGCGCGCAGGCGG